rnacentral:rRNA from 1 species
UACGUAGGGUGCAAGCGUUUAAUCGGAAUUACUGGGCGUAAAGCGUGCGCAGGCGGUUUUGUAAGACAGAUGUGAAAUGCCCGGGCUUAACCUGGGAACUGCAUUUGUGACUGCAAGGCUAGAGUUUGGCAGAGGGGGGUAGAAUUCCACGUGUAGCAGUGAAAUGCGUAGAUAUGUGGAGGAAUACCGAUGGCGAAGGCAGCCCCCUGGGUCAAGACUGACGCUCAUGCACGAAAGCGUGGGGAGCAAACAGG